rnacentral:rRNA from 1 species
UACGAGGGGUCCGAGCGUUGUCCGGAAUUAUUGGGCGUAAAGAGCUCGUAGGCGGUCUGUCGCGUCGGCUGUGAAAACCCGGGGCUCAACCCCGGGCCUGCAGUCGAUACGGGCAGACUAGAGUGCGGUAGGGGAGACUGGAAUUCCUGGUGUAGCGGUGAAAUGCGCAGAUAUCAGGAAGAACACCCGUGGCUAAGGCGGUUCUCUAGUACGGUACUGACGCUGAGACGCGAAAGCGUGGGGAGCGAACGG